rnacentral:rRNA from 1 species
GUGCCAGCAGCCGCGGUAAGACAGAGGGUGCAAGCGUUGUUCGGAAUUAUUGGGCGUAAAGCGCACGUAGGCGGCUCGUUAAGUCGGGUGUGAAAGCCCGGGGCUCAACCCCGGAAGUGCACCGGAAACUGGCGAGCUCGAAUCCCGGAGAGGGUGGUGGAAUUCCUGGUGUAGAGGUGAAAUUCGUAGAUAUCAGGAGGAACACCCGAGGCGAAGGCGACCACCUGGACGGUGAUUGACGCUGAGGUGCGAAAGCGUGGGGAGCAAACAGGAUUAGAAACCCGAGUAGUCC